UUGACUAUGUAGUUCAACGUGCACAUAGAGGCGCUGUCAGGUUUCUCUCUGCUUGAAUAUAACCAACACAGCGGCAUCUACUCCUGGCGUGUGAAGUUGGCCGCGCGUUUUACGAAUUUUCCACCAUGUUAGUUUUGUCCGUUACGCCAAACGUUUUGCGUCGCUUCACAAGAACACAUUACUUUUGCGUUAUUCGUCCUGGCGGAACGUAAUCGAGCUUGUGAUUGUCGUUGAAUGCGUCGUACGAAGUGUGCCGUAUGAUAUAUGUUAAUGACCGAUGUACAGACGAUUGUCAUCGACGUGCUUUCGCGUAUAAACUCGUGUUGCAAGUGUCGGUGUGAACGGCGUUGGAAUCGCAGUUUCGUGGAAUCUCGCGUUGCUCGUUUGUCUCGACACGAGAUCGGGAGUAUCGUACAAAGUAUCGCACGAUUUUGCGUUGAGAUUGUUAGUACGCAAAUAGUUCAAAUCUUAAGUAUUAUAAAGAAUUAAGUAGCAAUGAGCAAGAAAAGCCCAGGGAAAGGGAGGAGGUAUAUCAGGUAACGGCGGGACAACCGGAGAUUAAUGCAGUUUCAACCCCGCUGUUGCGCUUCAGUGUCGGUAAGUCUGAAACUUGUUAUCUUUAAAUUGCGACAAUAGAUGACGAUUAUUAAUAUCACCGAUGGAGGUCGCUAGAGAUCAAGAAAUAGAGUAAAGAAAAAUAGAAAUUAAAUUGCUUUAAGUUGGCUUUAGGUUAUAAGGUAUUUUAGUAAGUUACAUAUUAAAUUAAUAUGUAAUAAUAAUAAUUAACGAAGUGAGAGUUUUUGCAACCUGUUUAGAAAUGCUUAGUAAAAAUUUAAUAUGUAUUAAACUAUAACUGAAAGAUUAUGUUAACUUACAAAUUGACACACUGCAGUGCACACUUUAUAAGCUUAUGGUUAAAUAAACUAAAGUUUACGUAUACGUACAUGCAUAACUUUUAAUUUAUUUAACGAUUUUACAUGUAUAUGAUUUACACGAAGGACUUAAGCGAUUCGUUAAUGUUACAUUCUCUGUUAAUCGGAGAAGCAUGCGGUAGGUAUUUUUGCAAAGGUAUCGUUGCAAAGUUCUGUCCUACCUUGCCCAGACAUAAAUUAAAGUCUCAACGCUGACUGCUAACGUCACCUAGACUCUGACAUUAUUAAUUCACCACACAAGUGCUAAUGACAGCAUGUUUCAGAUAUUAACAAUAGGGAUAAAUAAUUGAACGAGUUCUAUGACAAUCAUUAUGAUGUAACGCAACUGGCAAAACAAUCUCCUGCGGUAAGAUAUGUGGUUG